rnacentral:rRNA from 1 species
GUGAUAGCUGGUUACUCAAGAAAAGGAUUUAAGUCCAACUUAAAGCUUUUUUAUUUUUCUAAAAUUUUUUCUAGGCUUUAAAGCAACUCAAAUAAGGUACAGCCUGUUUGAAAAAGGAGACAACCUCAACCGAUGGGUACAAUCUACUAUCCAACAUCUUCCCCUAGUAGGCCUAAAAGCAGCCAUCUAUGAAAAAGCGUCACAGCUAAGUAUAGCUAAUUUGUUCAAUCCCCCUCACCAUUUUUAACCCUCCUCCCCUACCGAGUAAUUCUAUACCUUUAUAGAAGAUUUUCUGUUGAAACUAGUAACAAGAAGAAAGACCUUCUCUUUAAUGCACACAUAACUCAGAAAGGACACACCACUGACACUUAACGUCCAUGAAUUUUAUUAGCAACUUCUUCAAGAAAAACCUUAUUUAUUCUACGUUAACCUAACACCAGAGCAUUUCAAGAAAGAUUAAAAAAAAAAGAAGGAACUCGGCAAACAUUAACCCCGCCUGUUUACCAAAAACAUCGCCUCUUGCAUAAAAAUAAGAGGUCCAGCCUGCCCAGUGACCCAUGUUCAACGGCCGCGGUAUCCUAACCGUGCGAAGGUAGCGUAAUCACUUGUUCUUUAAAUGGGGACUAGUAUGAAUGGCAUCACGAGGGUUACACUGUCUCCUUUUUUAAAUCAGUGAAACUAAUCUCCCCGUGAAGAAGCGGGGAUGAAACUAUAAGACGAGAAGACCCUAUGGAGCUUUAAACCUCCCUUCAAGUGCCAGAUACCUCCUCUCUAAUCACACUAACUCAAGCACUAUGAAGUCAAGUUUUAGGUUGGGGUGACCGCGGGGCACAAAAAAACCCCCACGUUGAACUAGGCCUCUAAACCUUGAGCAAUGGGCUACAACCCUAUGCACAAAAAAAUUUACAUCUAUUGACCCACUAAUUUGAUCAACGAACCAAGUUACCCUAGGGAUAACAGCGCAAUCUACUUCAAGAGCUCCUAUCGACAAGUGGGUUUACGACCUCGAUGUUGGAUCAGGGUGUCCCAGUGGUGCAGCCGCUACUAAUGGUUCGUUUGUUCAACGAUUAAAACCCU